CAGAUAUGAAGUGGGUUAUAGCCCAUGAAAGCUUAUUUUUACCUCAUUUAGGUAAUCUCAUUGACUUGCUUAGUAUAGAUACAGCUAUACUUACUCUUUGGAUUUUGGAAGAGGAACAAAAACAAUUUAUCUGAAACUUGUUACUCAAUAAAGACAUAUCUAUUUGAUAUAGAUUUGAGCAGAGUGAAAGGAACAUAGUCAUGCAGCACACUCCUGACACUGAAAUUUGUGAUGUCCAUGGAUCGGUAGGUUGAAUAAACAAUGGUGGACACACCAGGAAAUUGACUUCUCCUUCAUUCCUGCUGGUUGUGCACGGGUACACCUGUGCAGCGCUCAUGAAUGGUGUAGUGGCUGGGAAUGGAGAACCGCAGCCACUGGGAGCUGCGGGUGGCUGUGCCUGCGGACAGUCAGUGUAAACAAACCGUCUCGCAGCCUGCCAGUGGAUUACCUUGAUGGGCCCCAUGUGGCCUGCGAGCCGCAGGUUGCCCACCGCUGGAUUAGAGACUUCCUCCUUCCCAACCAAUUUAAACUGCUGACAAACAACUUGAAAGUGAGAGGAUGUAACAAGCUACAGUGAAAUGAGUCCUUGUGAAAUUAUUUGUUUAAUAUCAAGGAAGAAAAGUUUGCUUCCAGUUUCUCUUGUGCUUUUUAAAACAAACAAAUUAACCUUUGUUUUCCAGAGGCUGUUUGCUACAUUAUUGGAGAGUUUUCAGUUCAUGCUUUUAGGCCCUUAUUUUGAGAAUUUUUUUCCAGUGAUGUAGGUGUCUUUCAUUGUCUGGUUUCAGAGUAACAGCCGUGUUGGUCUGUAUCCGCAAGAAGAACAAGAGUACUUGUGUCACCGUAGAGUACUCCUUUUCAUUGUCUACUGAGCAUGAUCUGUGGCUGUUGGGUGAUCACUUUGCCCAGUGUUCUGGCCUUCUGGUUUUAAUGUCAUGGUUGUGCUCUACCUUUCUGGAGCAAUUAUGAACCCUGUGAAUUUUAAUAGCAUGGAAGUAUAUCCAACUGAACACCAUCUUUGGGCAGUGAUUUGUUUGUAAGUAUUUUUCUUCCUCUCGUCCUCUGCUGUUCUCUAUAAAAUGAAGCUGUUUCUGUUCUGGAGACCUGUUUUUUUUUUGACCAUUGCGUAAUAGUUGUUUUAGUUAAAUGGUUAAACUUUCAGUUGCUAUUUGUAUGUGUUUUGAAACCCAUUUUAGAAUGGGUUUGUUACUGUGUAAUAAACAAAUUUCAUUUAUUUUC